UACGUAGGCAGCGAGCGUUGCUCGGAAUGACUGGGCGUAAAGGGCGCGUAGGCGGAUGGCACAGUCAGAUGUGAAAUUCCCGGGCUUAACCUGGGGGCUGCAUUUGAUACGUGUUGUCUAGAGUGAGGAAGAGGGUUGUGGAAUUCCCAGUGUAGAGGUGAAAUUCGUAGAUAUUGGGAAGAACACCGGUGGCGAAGGCGGCAACCUGGUCCUUGACUGACGCUGAGGCGCGAAAGCGUGGGGGAGCAACAGG
rnacentral:rRNA from 1 species